GGAGCUUAACUCUGCAGGACCGAGUUUGGAGACCCCUGAUCAAAACAUUUAGAGUGGUCAGAUCAGAUAUGUCAAUGGCGAGAGUUUGGGUGUAGCUACUGAGCCAACCAAAACACUGGUGACACACCAAAGCCCUUCUUCCAUGAAAUGUCAAAGAGGAAUGUCUACUAGAAGUGCAAUAUUAUAGCUGUGCUCACACAGAGAUGUAAUGCGCUGAAAAGCUGAUCUUUGACCUUUUGAGAUUUACAGCUUGAGAAAACCGAUGAGGUGAUAAACGCAUGAGGGAUAAAUCAAGACAAAUAUUGAAAAUAUGUUUUUGGAGAAGGACAAGUAAUCUGAUAUGACUGAGAGAGAUGUAAAGAAUUAUGAACCACUGCUGCUGUGCUCUGAGUACUUAUUACAUUACAUUAUAUUACAUUACUUACAUUUCCAGGGUCACUGUAACAGCAUGUAACCUCUAAAAGCCAGUAACUAGAUAUAUGACUGUUGUGUAGUUAGAAAAACACAUUGAAAUGUAUUUAUCUACCAUACUUUAUUUAAAGCAAAGAAUACAACUGGGUUGCA